rnacentral:tRNA from 2 species
AGGAAAGUAAGCAAGAACUGCUAACUCAUGCUACCGUGAUUACCCUCACGGCUUUCCUA